rnacentral:rRNA from 1 species
CGAAACGAAGUGAUCUAUCCAUGAGCAAGUUGAAGCUAGUGUAAGAACUAGUGGAGGACUGAACCCAUAGGCGUUGAAAAGCCCCGGGAUGACUUGUGGAUAGGGGUGAAAGGCCAAUCAAACUUCGUGAUAGCUGGUUCUCUCCGAAAUAUAUUUAGGUAUAGCGUUGUGUCGUAAUAUAAGGGGGUAGAGCACUGAAUGGGCUAGGGCAUACACCAAUGUACCAAACCCUAUCAAACUCCGAAUACCUUAUAUGUAAUCACAGCAGUCAGGCGGCGAGUGAUAAAAUCCGUCGUCAAGAGGGAAACAACCCAGACUACCAGCUAAGGUCCCUAAAUCUUACUUAAGUGGAAAACGAUGUGAAGUUACUUAAACAACCAGGAGGUUGGCUUAGAAGCAGCCAUCCUUUAAAGAAAGCGUAAUAGCUCACUGGUCUAGUGAUUUUGCGCGGAAAAUAUAACGGGGCUAAAGUAAGUACCGAAGCUGUAGACUUAGUUUACUAAGUGGUAGGAGAGCGUUCUAUUUGCGUCGAAGGUAUACCGGUAAGGAGUGCUGGAGCGAAUAGAAGUGAGCAUGCAGGCAUGAGUAGCGAUAAUUAAUGUGAGAAUCAUUAACGCCGUAAACCCAAGGUUUCCUACGCGAUGCUCGUCAUCGUAGGGUUAGUCGGGUCCUAAGUCGAGUCCGAAAGGGGUAGACGAUGGCAAAUUGGUUAAUAUUCCAAUACCAACAUUAGUGUGCGAUGGAAGGACGCUUAGGGCUAAGGGGGCUAGCGGAUGGAAGUGCUAGUCUAA